rnacentral:rRNA from 1 species
CGCGUAGGCGGCUCUUCAAGUCAAAGGUGAAAUCCCUCGGCUCAACCGGGGAACUGCCUUUGAUACUGUCGAGCUUGAGUCCCGGAGAGGGUAGCGGAAUUCCGAGUGUAGCGGUGAAAUGCGUAGAUACUCGGAGGAACACCCGUGGCGAAGGCGGCUACCUGGACGGGUACUGACGCUGAGGCGCGAAAGCUAGGGGAGCAAACAGGAUUAGAUACCCUGGGAGUCC